GUCCCUGUAGCACAAUGGGUAGAGCGCUGGACUUCUAAUCCAGAGGUCGUGGGUUCGAAUUUCACCUGGGAUG